UACGAAGGGUGCAAGAAACUAUUAUUGGUAUGUGGUUAAUUUUUUCUAGGAGAGGUUAAACAAAUUGAUUUGUUAGGUGAAAUUUUAUAUUUUUGAAUAGUCCUUUUAAUUGAAUUCAAUGAAGCUAUGAAAAUUAGAUGAAAAACUGGGAUUAGAUACCCCAUUAUGCUAAAUGUUAACAUAGAAUCAGAGUAGUAAUAGUUAUGUGCUUGAAACUCAAAGAAUUUGGCGGUGUUUUAGUCCAAUCAGAGGAACCUGUCCCUUAAUCGAUAAUCCUCGUUUUACUUUACUUGAUUUUGUAGUCAGCUUGUAUACCGCCGUCAUAAGAACGUUUCUAGAGAACAUGUUCAAGAUUUUAAAAUAAAAAGUAUGUCAGGUCAAGGUGCAGUUUAUAAUCAAGUGGUGGUGGGUUACAUUGAUUUUAAUCAAACGGAUUUUGACUUGAAACGAGUGAAAUGAAGGUGGAUUUGAGCGUAAUAAAACUAAGAAAAUUUUUAUGAUAACGGCUCUAAAACAUGCACACAUCGCCCGUCGCUCUCGUUUAUUAAGGCGAG
rnacentral:rRNA from 1 species